AGUGAUCUGGCUUUAGUUAG
rnacentral:snRNA from 1 species